GCAAACAGAUAGAUGGAGAAUAAGGCAUAGAAACUUAGAGCUGCCUAAACUGAAGUAGUGCCAUAUAUCAUGUUUUAGAAUAACUCAAUUAAGACCUAUUUAGCUAAUAGCACUGCAAAACAGGUAAGAUUAACAAAUUAUUUUGUUAACUGUGAUACUUUUAAACUCUUGAAUUAGAUAUUGCACCCCCAGAGCUAGACUGCCCUGGUCAUAUGAUAUCCCUACUUAUGGAGAGUGCCAGUCUGGCUGGGGGGAUGCAAUGUUAUUUCAUUCUGCCCAGUUCUACAAUUUAAAUUUGAUGUCAGAUAUUUAUUAUUAAAUUACAUUUAAAAAUAUCCUUAAGUAACAAUGUAUCCCUGAGUCCCAAAAAUAAAUGGAAUUGUUAAUUCCCUGUGUGACAUAGCUCCUCUGCUGUUAUCUAGCAUUUAAAGAAAACACAUUUCCAAGCAAUCACAUGACUUUUUCCCCCCUCCUUGUCUAUUACAGCCUCCAAGCAAUACAAGUAUCCAGGAGGUGUCAUGCAGUGGGCUCGCUAUAGCACAAAUUCACAAGCCUCUCUGGGAAUGAAAAAAAACAUUUAGCCAGUCUCUGCACAAGCAUGAGGACACUCUCACCAUUGCUACAAUGCAGAUUAUCAGCAACGGGAUGCGAAAGCCACACUAUUAUUUCAAUGCCAAUGAAAUGGGAUAUGUACUUCACGGAUGUGGAAAGAUUGGGGUGAUAAGCAAGUCGUCAGUAGUGACUGACUUUGACAUCAACACUGGAGAUGUUUUCUUCUUUCCUCACGGAGCCCAGCAUUAAAUUAAAAGCACAUGUGAUGAGGACCUCUUUCAUGUAAUUGCCUACAGUACCGGCAACAAGGUGAGAACACAUCCAGCUAUACUGCUGAAAUCAAUUAUACAAAAUUCAACUACUUAUUUCCAUUUUAUUGUAAUGCCAGACGCGUUCUAAUCUAUAUUACAAAGAGAACCAAGUGAUGCUCACAUACUUUUCCACAUCUUGUAGUCACUUAAAAAGGAAAAUUAUGAGGUAAUAAGGCUUCCGUGUCAUUACUGGAAUGGAAAUGGAAACUAAUGUGUGGCACGCAAUUACUCCACACUAGCUAAAUAAUUCACCAUCGCCACAUGUGAACCCAUGUGAUUGUCAUUGUCACGUUUUCAAAAUGCGACAAUCGCACGUUAUAUAGGUAUUGUGAAUAGGGUUUUAGUCUUACACAAGGAGAAUAUGUUGUUACAAUUGCAAAGAGGAUUUUAAAACUAAUAAGAAAUGCUGAAGUGGUGAAAUAAUAAAUAACUUUGUCCUUUUUUGACAGCUGCAAACCAUGGGUAUGGAUAUUUAUUUCCAAUCCACAGCAGACUUUAUAUUAGCCCAGCUUUUCCGGAAGCACCAAGACGAAUUUAAGAAAAUUCCAACCUUCAAGAUCCCUCAAGAUAUUAACAUGUCAUAAAAGAAUAUACAGGACUAUUGAAUAGCAUGUGCAUUAAAGAUGUGUUUAUAGUAUUUGAUCUUAAGCAAACCAGACAAUAUAGCUGGAAUGCAGUAAAAUGUAUAGCAGUAACUGUAUUGACUGUAUACAAAUCAAAAUUUCAUGCAUCUUGGAGCCCAUCCAGAAGUGCUCCUCUAUAGCAGUUCUAAGACCUUGUUCUAAGUAGAUAGUUAAUUACUUAACUGAAUAUCUACGGUAGGUUCAAGAACAUUGUUGAAUCAUGGUCCUAGACUGGACAGGAAUAAAAGAGCACCAUGUUAUGUGUUGGCUACACACCACGUAUAGGAAUUUCUUUCUCGUGUACUGUAGCACAUUAGCAAUACAAUUGUUGUUGUAGGUAAAACCUAGUUGUAUGUGGCCCUACACCUUAUAUCACCAAAUAUUAAAAUGCUAAAAUACUUAAACUUUAAAGAACUAUCUUCUAAUUUUCAUUAGCUUGGCUGCCUUAGUGUAUGGUAUAUUGAACAAGACUUCUAUGAUGUGUAUUGUAUUUUUAAACAUAAAAAAUAAAAUGCUUGUUUCUUUUUUGUAUAAAUACGAUCACACUUUGGAUUUAGGAAAUGCAGUCGUUAUGAAGUAUUUUGGAAUAACAUCAGUGACUUGAGAAAUAAAAGACUGUGCUUAACAAUAGCUUGUAAUGACCACACACUUCAGAAAGAUAAUGCAAUACAAUUUGCAAUAAAAUUCUAUUAUGAACCAUAAAACUGAAUUCUGAAUUCUUCUGCAUUACCCGAGCCACCUAGAAGAGCCUCAGCAGUAUUUUUUUGCAUGUGCUAACAUAGGAUUUCAUAACACUGCUAUAAUGCUUUGCAUCUAGUUAGAACAAGGCUAGUACGACCCUGUCCAGAGCUUUUCUUCAACCAACUUAUGGCAAUUGUUAAACUGAGCUUCUGAA